rnacentral:rRNA from 1 species
AAACUUAAAUGAAUUGACGGGACCGCACAAGCAGCGGAGUCGUGUGGUUUAAUUCGUUGCUACACGAAGAACCUUACCUGGGUUUGACAUAUAGGUUGUAGGGAACUGAAAGGGACCGACCCUUCGGGGAGCCUAUACAGGUGUUGCAUGGCUGUCGUCAGCUCGUGUCGUGAGAUGUUCGGUUAAGUCCGCUAACGAGCGCAACCCUCGUCGUAUGUUAUAUGUGUCAUACGAGACUGCCGGUAAAAGCCGGAGGAAGGUGAGGAUGAUGUCAAGUCAGCAUGACCUUUAUAUCCAGGGCUACACACACGCUACAAUGGUCUGUACAAUGGGUAGCCAAGCCGCGAGGCGGAGCCAAUCCUGAAAGCAGGCCUCAGUUCAGAUUGCAGUCUGCAACUCGACUGCAUGAAGCCGGAGUUGCUAGUAACCGCAGGUCAGCAAUACUGCGGUGAAUACGUUCCCGGGUCUU